GACGAACGCUGGCGGCGUGCUUAACACAUGCAAGUCGAGCGGUAAGGCCUUUCGGGGGUACACGAGCGGCGAACGGGUGAGUAACACGUGGGUGACCUGCCUUUAGCUUCGGGAUAAGCCUGGGAAACUGGGUCUAAUACCGGAUAUGACCUCAUGUCGCAUGGUGUGGGGUGGAAAAGUUUUUCGGCUAGAGAUGGGCCCGCGGCCUAUCAGCUUGUUGGUGGGGUGAUGGCCUACCAAGGCGACGACGGGUAGCCGGCCUGAGAGGGCGACCGGCCACACUGGGACUGAGAUACGGCCCAGACUCCUACGGGAGGCAGCAGUGGGGAAUAUUGCGCAAUGGGCGGAAGCCUGACGCAGCGACGCCGCGU
rnacentral:rRNA from 1 species